rnacentral:rRNA from 1 species
GUUGGCGUUUGAAAGCUCGUAGUUGGAUUUCGGUUAAGAGCGACCGGUCCGCCGUUUGGGGCGGCUGGUUGGUUUUAACUUCCUGUAGAGGACGCGCUCUGGGCUUACGUUUUGGACUCGCACUCUACGUGGUUCCUUUGAAAAAAUUAGCUUGUUCAAAGGCGGCUUACCCUUGAAUAGUUCUGCAGGGAAUAACACUAUAGGACUCCUGUCCUAUUUCGUUGGUCUCGUGACCGGGGUCAUGAUAACCAGGAAUAGUUGGGGGCAUUCGUAUUUCAUUAUCUGAGGUGAAAUUCUUGGAUUUAUGAAAGACGAACUUCUGCGAAAGCAUUUGCCAAGGAUGUUUUCAUUAAUCAAGAACGAAAGUUGGGGGCUCGAAGAUGAUUAGAUACCAUCCUAGUCUCAACCAUAAACGAUGCCGACUAGGGAUUGGCGGAUGUUAAUUGAUGACUCCGCCAGCACCUUAUGAGAAAUCAAAGUUUUUGGGUUCCGGGGGGAGUAUGGUCGCAAGGCUGAAAACUUAAGGAAUUGACGGAAGGGCACCACCAGGCGUGGAGCCUGCGGCUUAAUUUGACUCAACACGGGGAAAACUUACCAGGUCCAGACAUAGUAAGGAUUGACAGAUUGAGAGCUCUUUUCUUGAUUCUAUGGGUGGUGGUGCAU